UUACAGCCAUAUCACGCUGAAAUACCGGUUCCGAUACGAUCACUGAAAUUAAGCAAUGUCAAGCUUGAUCAGUACUGAGAUUGGUGAUCACUUGGGAAUACCAGGUGGUGUAAG